UUAAACCCUAAACUGAACUCUUUUCUAUUCAACCAGCAUUAGGGUUUUAAACCCUAAACUGAGCUUUUCCAUGCAAUCAGCAUUAAGGUUUAAACCCUAAACUGAAUUUUUCCUUUAGUCAGCAUUAGGGUUUUAAACCCUAAACUGAACUCUUUUCCAUUCAACCAGCAUUAGGGUUUUAAACCCUAAACUGAGCUUUUCCAUGCAAUCAGCAUUAGGGUUUUAAACCCUAAACUGAAUUUUUCCUUUAGUCAGCAUUAGGGUUUUAAACCCUAAACUGAACUUUUUUCCAUUCAGUCAGCAUUAGGGUUUUAAACCCUAAACUGAACUUUUUCCAUUCAGCCAGCAUUAGGGUUUUAAACCCUAAACUGAGCUUUUCCUUCCAGUCAGCAUUAGGGUUUUAAACCCUAAACUGAAUUUUUCUUUAAUCAGCAUUAGGGUUUUAAACCCUAAACUGAUUUUUCCUUUCAACCAGCAUUAGGGUUUUAAACCAUAAACUGAGCUUUUCCAUGUAAUCAGCAUUAGGGUUUUAAACCCUAAACUGAGUUUUCCUUUUAGUCAGCAUUAGGGUUUUAAACCCUAAAUUGAACUUUUUCCUUUAGCCAGCAUUAGGGUUUUAAACCCUAAACUGAGCUUUUUUCUUCCAGUCAGCAUUAGGGUUUUAAACCCUAAACUGAACUUUUUUCCAUUCAGCCAGCAUUAGGGUUUUAAAGCCUAAACUGAGCUUUUCCAUGCAAUCAGCAUUAGGGUUUUAAACCCUAAACUGAAUUUUUCCUUUAGUUAGCAUUAGGGUUUUAAACCCUAAACUGAUUUUUUCCAUUCAGCCAGCAUUAGGGUUUUAAACCUUAAACUGAGCAUUUCCAUGCAAUCAGCAUUAGGGUUUUAAACCCUAAACUGGAUUUUUCCUUUCAGCCAGCAUUAGGGUUUUAAAACCUAAACUGAACUUUUUCCAUUCAGCCAGCAUUAGGGUUUUAAACCUUAAACUGAGCUUUUCCAUGCAAUCAGCAUUAGGAUUUUAAACCCUAAACUGAAUUUUUCCUUUAGUCAGCAUUAGGGUUUUAAACCCUAAACUGAACUUUUUUCCAUUCAGCCAGCAUUAGGGUUUUAAAGCCUAAACUGAGCAUUUCCAUGCAAUCAGCAUUAGGGUUUUAAACCCUAAACUGAAUUUUUCCUUUAGUCGGCAUUAGGGUUUUAAACCCUAAACUGAACUUUUUUCCAUUCAGCCAACAUUAGGGUUUUAAACCCUAAACUGAGCUUUUCCUUCCAGUCAGCAUUAGGGUUUUAAACCCUAAACUGAACUUUUUCCAUUAAGCCAGCAUUAGGGUUUUAAACCAUAAACUGAGAUUUUCCAUGCAUGUCAGCAUUAGGGUUUUAAACCCUAAACUGAAUUUUUCCUUUAGUCAGCAUUAGGGUUUUAAACCCUAAACUGAACUCUUUUCCAUUCAGCAUUAGGGUUUUAAACCCUAAACUGAGCUUUUCCAUGCAAUCAGCAUUAGGGUUUUAAACCCUAAACUGAAUUUUUCCUUUAGUUAGCACUAGGGUUCUAAACCCUAAACUGAUUUUUUCCAUUCA
rnacentral:lncRNA from 1 species